AAACAUGUCUUUCUGUUUAAAAACAUAGGAAGUCGAGCCUGCCCGGUGACGUGUGUUUAACGGCCGCGGUAUUUUGACCGUGCGAAGGUAGCGUAAUCAUUUGCCUUAUAAUUGAAGGCUUGUAUGAAUGGCUUGACGAGGGUUUUACUGUCUCACCCCGGUUCUUUAGAAUUUAACCUUUAGGUGAAGAGGCUUAAAUGCAAUUAAAAGACGAGAAGACCCUAUUGAGCUUAGAUUUUUUUCUUGAGGGGCAAGAAAAACUCUUUAAUUGGGGCAAUUAAGGAACAAAUAAAGCUUCCUAAUGCUAACAAUAUCUGCAAAUUUUGAUCCACUUCUAGUGAAUAAGGAAAAGUUACCAUAGGGAUAACAGCGUUAUCUUUCUUGAGAGUUCUUAUUAAAAGAAAGGUUUGCGACCUCGAUGUUGGACUAAAGUGUCCUGAAGAUGCAGAAGUCUUUAAGGGUUGGUCUGUUCGACCAUUAAAACUUUACAUGAUCUGA
rnacentral:rRNA from 1 species